rnacentral:lncRNA from 1 species
AGCUGGCCCUCCUGGGAGUGGCUCAGGCCUGAGUGUAGCUGAGGGGAUGGAAAAGCCCACCCUGCUUGGAAUCUGCAGGCUUGGCAGACUCUGCCCCCUUGUGGCCACAGGAAGCCAUGGCCCAGGCCCCAUGUUUUCAGUGGGCCCAUUAGCUCCCACCAUCCCCUGGCUCUGUGGUCAUCGAGGGACACCUAUGGUCAGAGGAGAGAACUCAGGUGGCUCUGGGUCCAGAACACAGUUCACAGAGGGGUGAGGUGAAGCAGCUCUGGGUGGGCAGCACAGGCUGAGGCUUGGGGCUCACUAUCAUUAGAUAACUCUUAGAGUGACCAGCUAGCACCCUAAUUCUUCUCCAGCCCUCAGCUUCCUCUCCGGCAGCCUGGGGUGAAGGCCUCUGUAGGACCAAGUGUGUCCAGCUAUAACUCCUUCCAGCCACUUCUGGCAUCUCCAGACCUACAACACAGAGCAGGAAGGUUCUGGGAAAAGAGGACCCCUCUCUCCCCUCCAGCUGUGUGACCUUGUAACCUUAGACAACCUCUGAGCUUCUCUGAGCCUUGUUUGCUCAUCUGGAAAAAGGGGAUUAAACCAUUUACCUCAUGGAGUUGUGAAAGAAUAGCUGCAAAGCACCUAACACAUAGUAAGGUUCCCAGUGCAGCUACUUCUGCUGGGUUGAGUCUAGCUGUGUAGGCCCCUUGUUCCUCACCUGGAGAAACUGGGGUGGCAGGACGGCCCCCCCCAAAAGAUAACUCAUCUCUUAAUUUGCAAGCUGCCUCAACAGGAGGGUGGGGGAACAGCUCAACAAUGGCUGAUGGGCGCUCCUGGUGUUGAUAGAGAUGGAACUUGGACUUGGAGGCCUCUCCACGCUGUCCCACUGCCCCUGGCCUAGGCGGCAGGCUCCACUUGGUCUCUCCGCGCAGCCUGCCCUGUGGCCCACCCUGGCCGCUCUGGCUCUGCUGAGCAGCGUCGCAGAGGCCUCCCUGGGCUCCGCGCCCC